rnacentral:rRNA from 1 species
GACGAACGCUGGCGGCGUGCUUAACACAUGCAAGUCGAGCGGAAAACUUCGGUUUUCAGCGGCGGACGGGUGAGUAACACGUGGGCAACCUGCCUCACAAUGAGGGAUAGCCUCCCGAAAGGGAGAUUAAUACCGCAUAAAGUCAAAUGAAGGCAUCUUCAAAUGACCAGAGGAGUAAUCCGCUAUCAGAUGGGCCCGCGGCGCAUUAGCUAGUUGGUGAGGUAACGGCUCACCAAGGCGACGAUGCGUAGCCGACCUGAGAGGGUGAUCGGCCACAUUGGGACUGAGACACGGCCCAGACUCCUACGGGAGGCAGCAGUGGGGAAUAUUGCACAAUGGGGGAAACCCUGAUGCAGCAACGCCGCGUGAGUGAUGAAGGCCUUCGGGUUGUAAAGCUCUGUCUUCAGGGAAGAUAAUGACGGUACCUGAGGAGGAAGCCACGGCUAACUACGUGCCAGCAGCCGCGGUAAAAC